GACGAACGCGGCGGCGUGCUUAACACAUGCAAGUCGAACGAAGAGCGAUGGAAGCUUGCUUCUAUCAAUCUUAGUGGCGAACGGGUGAGUAACGCGUAAUCAACCUGCCCUUCAGAGGGGGACAACAGUUGGAAACGACUGCUAAUACCGCAUACGAUCUAAUCUCGGCAUCGAGGAUAGAUGAAAGGUGGCCUCUACAUGUAAGCUAUCACUGAAGGAGGGGAUUGCGUCUGAUUAGCUAGUUGGAGGGGUAACGGCCCACCAAGGCGAUGAUCAGUAGCCGGUCUGAGAGGAUGAACGGCCACAUUGGGACUGAGACACGGCCCAGACUCCUACGGGAGGCAGCAGUGGGGGAUCUUCCGCAAUGGACGAAAGUCUGACGGAGCAACGCCGCGUGAGUGAUGACGGCCUUCGGGUUGUAAAGCUCUGUUAAUCGGGACGAAAGGCCUUCUUGCGAAUAGUGAGAAGGAUUGACG
rnacentral:rRNA from 1 species